rnacentral:rRNA from 1 species
UGGGGAAUAUUGGACAAUGGGGGAAACCCUGAUCCAGCGAUACCGCGUGUGUGAAGAAGGCCUUCGGGUUGUAAAGCACUUUUGAUAAAAAAGAAAGGUAUGCGGCUAAUAUCUGUGUACUGUGACGUUAUUUAUCGAAUAAGCACCGGCUAACUCUGUGCCAGCAGCCGCGGUAAUACAGAGGGUGCAAGCGUUAAUCGGAAUUACUGGGCGUAAAGGGCGCGUAGGUGGUUUAGUGUGUCUGGCGUAAAAUCCCUGGGCUUAACCUAGGAAUCGCGUCGGAUACUGCUAGGCUAGAGUGGGGUAGGGGGUUGUGGAAUUUCCGGUGUAGCGGUGGAAUGCGUAGAUAUCGGAAGGAACAUCAGUAGCGAAGGCGACAACCUGGACCUUAACUGACACUGAGGCGCGAAAGCGUGGGGAGCAAACAGG